UCCUACGGGGCGCAGCAGCUAAGAAUAUUGGGCAAUGGAGGAAACUCUGACCCAGCCAUGCCGCGUGAAUGAAGAAGGCCUUCGGGUUGUAAAGUUCUUUUCGUCGUGAAGAUGAUGACGGUAGCGACAGAAAAAGCACCGGCUAACUUCGUGCCAGCAGCCGCGGUAAUACGUAGGGGGCUAGCGUUAUCCGGAAUUACUGGGCGUAAAGGGUGCGUAGGUGGUUUCUUAAGUCAGAGGUGAAAGGCUACGGCUCAACCGUAGUAAGCCUUUGAAACUGGGAAACUUGAGUGCAGGAGAGGCGG
rnacentral:rRNA from 1 species